CAUGGCGCUCGAUUAUGAAACAUGGCGAUGCCAUAAGGGUCGUGGGUUUGUUUUGUCAUUUCUGUUCGCGUAAAUCGUACAUUUUAUCCAAAACUACGGUUGAUUUACCUUUGAGGAAAAAGGUGAAGAUGACAGGUGCCCUAUGCAAUGGAGUCAGUUUCACCCAACAAAUCUCUGCCUAGUCUUAAUCUGUGAUGCAAAGACUUGGUCGGACAAAAAAAAGGAAAAGGAUGUGCAGUGCGUGUGUUGAUUGUUUUGGCCACUGGACUGUCUCUGAUGCAAAGAGUUAGGUCCCACAAAAAAAAAGGAAAAAGAUAUAGAGUGAGUGUGUUAUUUGUUUUGGCCACUGGACUGUCUUUAGGCACUGAACAGAGAGUGGACUUUAUACAAGAGAUGGGUGAUUGAGAGCUGACCUACAAAGGAGUCAGUUUCACCCAACAAAUCUCUUCCUUAGUCUUAAUCUGUGAUGCAAAGACUUGGUCCAAAAGAAAAAAAAAUGAAAAGGAUAUGUGGUGAGUGUGUUGAUUGUUUCGGCCACUGGACUGUCUUUAUGUGAUAAACAGAGAGUGGACUUUGUACAAGAGAUGGAUGACUGAUAGCUGACCUACAAAGGAGUCAGUUUCACCCCAAAAGUCUCUUCCUUAGUCUUAAUCUGUUAUGCAAAGACUUGGUCCCACAAAAAAAAAAGGAAAAGGAUGUGCAGUGAGUGUGUUGAUUGUUUUGGCCACUGGGCUGUCUUUAUGUGAUAAACAGAGAGUGGACUUUGUACAAGAGAUGGAUGACUGAUAGCUGACCCAUAAAGGAGUCAGUUUCACCCUAAAAGUCUCUUCCUUAGUCUUAGUCUGUGAUGCAAAGACUCGGUCCCACAAAAAAAAAAGGAAAAGGAUGUGCAGUGAGUGUGUUGAUUGUUUUGGCCACUGGACUGUCUUUAUGCGCUGGACAGAGAGUGGACUUUGUGCAAGAGAUGAAUGACUGAGAGCUGAUCCACAAAGGAAUCAGUUUUAUCUAACGGAUCUCUUCCUUAGUCUUAAUCUGUGAUGCAAAGACUUGGUCCCACAAAAAAGAGGAAAAGGAAAUGCAGUAAGUGUGUCAAUUGUUUUGGCCACUGGACUGUCUUCAUGUGCUGAACAGAGAGUGGACUUUGUACAAGAGAUGGGUAACUGACAGCUGACCCACUAAGGAGUCAGAUUCACCCAACAUAUCUCUUUCUUAGUCUUAAUCUGUGAUGCAAAGACUUGGUCGCACAAAAAAAAAAGGAAAAGGAUAUGCAGUGAGUGUGUUGAUUGUUUUGCCUGCUGGACUGUCUUUAUGCGCUGAACUUUGUACAAGUGGACUUUGUACAAGAGAUGGAUGACCAAAAGCUGACCCUCAAAGGGGUUGGUUUCACCCAACAUAUCUCUUCCUAGGUCUUGAUCUGUGAUGUCAAGACCUCCUGAAUUGGUCAUGGACUUUGCACAAGAGAUAGGUGACUGAAAUACCAUUGCUAAAGAUUGCAAUAUUGUUCAGAUUUUGUCUUGGAUUUCACUGGAUCAGUGGCCCAUGUUUCAAUGAAACUGCCGCUAAGGUGUCGAUGCCCCUUGAAGUAUUCCUCUAAGAGCAUUUUUGGAGAAUCAGAGGACCAAAGAAUUUGGCGUUCUCUCAAGUGGAUGGACAAUGUGGGGGAAGGCAAAAGUUUUCUCUCAAUUUCUUUAGCAUUUCCCGCCAUUUGGCACAAUGCCACCCAGAGAAUUCGGUACUUAAACACGAA
rnacentral:lncRNA from 1 species